rnacentral:rRNA from 1 species
UACGUAGGGCGCAAGCGUUGUCCGGAAUUAUUGGGCGUAAAGAGCUCGUAGGCGGCUUGUCACGUCGGGUGUGAAAGCCCGAGGCUUAACCUCGGGUCUGCAGUCGAUACGGGCUAGCUAGAGUGUGGUAGGGGAGAUCGGAAUUCCUGGUGUAGCGGUGAAAUGCGCAGAUAUCAGGAGGAACACCGGUGGCGAAGGCGGAUCUCUGGGCCAUUACUGACGCUGAGGAGCGAAAGCGUGGGGAGCGAACAGG